rnacentral:rRNA from 1 species
CCCUGCCAUUUGUACACACCGCCCGUCGUUGUUUCCGAUGAUGGUGCAAUACAGGUGAUCGGACUGGCGACGUUUACGUCUGCUGGAAAGUUCACCGAUAUUUCUUCAAUAGAGGAAGCAAAAGUCGUAACAAG